rnacentral:rRNA from 1 species
GGGGAAUUUUCCGCAAUGGGCGAAAGCCUGACGGAGCAAUACCGCGUGAGGGAUGACGGCCUAUGGGUUGUAAACCUCUUUUUUCAGGGAGGAAUCAAUGACGUGUACCUGAAGAAUAAGCAUCGGCUAACUCCGUGCCAGCAGCCGCGGUAAGACGGAGGAUGCAAGUGUUAUCCGGAAUCACUGGGCGUAAAGCGUCUGUAGGUGGUUUAAUAAGUCAACUGUUAAAUCUUGAGGCUCAACCUCAAAAUCGCAGUCGAAACUAUUAGACUAGAGUAUAGUAGGGGUAAAGGGAAUUUCCAGUGGAGCGGUGAGAUGCGUAGAUAUUGGAAGGAACACCGAUGGCGAAGGCACUUUACUGGGCUAUUACUAACACUCAGAGACGAAAGCUAGGGUAGCAAAUGGGAUUAGAUACCCCAGUAGUCA